GAAGGCUGAAAUUCGCCUUCAUGAAGUCGGAAUUGCUAGUAAUGGCAGGUCAGCAUACUGCCGUGAAUACGUUCCCGGGCCUUGUACACACCGCCCGUCACACCAUGAGAGUUGGGAAUACCCGAAGCCUGUGAGCUAACGAAAGAGGCAGCAGUCGAAGGUAGAAUCAAUGAUUGGGGUGAAGUCGUAACAAGGUACC
rnacentral:rRNA from 1 species